AAAAAAAGAAGAGAAAAACAGAGGGGAGAGCUGACAGAUUAUUGAAAGAAAACCGUGAGGGAGAGAGAGAGAACCAAGCUUUUGGAGAGGGACCGAAAGGGAGAAGAAAGCUGAGAACAACGUGAGAGAGGGCUUGUAGAAGAGAGGAAUGAAACUGAAGAAGAAGACAGAGGAAGAAGAGUAGCAGAACAGAGAGAGGGAACAACGAAAAAAACUGACCCAAGGUGACGGUGAACAGAAACAGAGGAGAGAAAGAAAGAGGACAGCCGCCGACUACACCGCCGCUGCCGCCUCCGCUGCCGCCAGCGUCGCCACCGUUCCAGGUACUCGUCUUCCCCCUGUUGCCUUUCGUUUAUACAUUCAGUGGUUUGUUUUCAUUCUUUGCAUGCAGAACGUGAAUCACGUUCUGCAGCAAAGAAUGAAAAUAAUUCGGUAGUUACUGUGCUGGGCACAGUAACUACCUUAUUAUUUGCUGGUUACUGUGUGGCUAACACAGUAACCAGCCUUUUGGUUGGUGGGCUGGAACAUCAGCCCAGCCCACGCGGCUGGGCUGAGUCCAGCCCACAGUAUAUGGGCCGGGUCAGGCCCAUCCCAGGAUGGAUGGGCUAGAUCCGGCCCAGUUUUUAUUUAUUUAUUUUUGUUAAUUAAAUUGGUUUUAUUUUUGUUUUUUUUGUAAUUUUACAAGUUUCCCGUGUAUUUUUGAUUAAUAUCAAGCAGCAUUUUUUUAUGUUGGGAAAAAAUAUAAAUCCGGUAUUAAAAUACCCCGUUUUCGUUCCGUGGUACUGUUCACCCGCCCAUUCAAAAAAAAAAAUCAAAAAAUAUUUGUUUCAUUUAUAAUUUUUCCGCGUAAUUUUUUAUGUCAUUUUGAUUAAUAUUGGGUGAUAUGUUUUUUAUGUUGUUAAAAAUACAAAAAUCUGAUUUUUAAAUUCCCGGUUUUCGUCAAAAAAUUUUCCACAAGAUACAAAAAAAAAAAAAAAAAAAAUGUUUUUGUGCAUACGGCCAAGUGUCUCAAAGCUAAAAAUUUAUAUUGUAUUUUUAAUACACAAAAAAAAAAAAUGUUUUAGCAUGCAUUUUGGCUUUAAUAACCAGUUUAUUAAAGUCAAGAGAAUAUUGGCCAAUAUUUCAAAAACAACAAAAAUUUUAUUUUUUGGACAAUAAAACCUAGGGUAUGACAUUACACGUAAUGCAUAUUCCGGAUAUUUAAUUUUUAUUUUUGGACAAUAAAACCUGGGGUAUGAUAUUACACGUAAUGCGUAUUCCGGAUAUUUAAUUCUUUUUUUUUUUGUUUGGACAAUAGAACCCGGGGUAUGACAUUACAUGUAAUGCAUAUUUUGGACAAUAGGAAACCAUAACAUGACUUAGGUUUUAUUAGACAAAACAAUGCAGCCUACCUUAGGUAGGGCGUAGUUGGGGUGCUAACACCUUCCCUUUACGCAACCAGUCUCCGUACCUGAUCUCUCAAGACCAGUAAGGGUUCCUAGUAACCAGAAUACUAGGUGGCGACU
rnacentral:lncRNA from 1 species